UGGAAGUAAAAGUCGUAACAAGGUCUCCGUUGGUGAACCAGCGGAGGGAUCAUUACCGAGUUUACAACUCCCAAACCCAAUGUGAACCAUACCAAACUGUUGCCUCGGCGGGGUCACGCCCCGGGUGCGUCGCAGCCCCGGAACCAGGCGCCCGCCGGAGGGACCAACCAAACUCUUUCUGUAGUCCCCUCGCGGACGUUAUUUCUUACAGCUCUGAGCAAAAAUUCAAAAUGAAUCAAAACUUUCAACAACGGAUCUCUUGGUUCUGGCAUCGAUGAAGAACGCAGCGAAAUGCGAUAAGUAAUGUGAAUUGCAGAAUUCAGUGAAUCAUCGAAUCUUUGAACGCACAUUGCGCCCGCCAGUAUUCUGGCGGGCAUGCCUGUCCGAGCGUCAUUUCAACCCUCGAACCCCUCCGGGGGGUCGGCGUUGGGGAUCGGGAACCCCUAAGACGGGAUCCCGGCCCCGAAAUACAGUGGCGGUCUCGCCGCAGCCUCUCCUGCGCAGUAGUUUGCACAACUCGCACCGGGAGCGCGGCGCGUCCACGUCCGUAAAACACCCAACUUCUGAAAUGUUGACCUCGGAUCAGGUAGGAAUACCCGCUGGACUUAAGCAUAUCA
rnacentral:rRNA from 1 species